rnacentral:rRNA from 1 species
CCGCACGCGCGCUACACUGAACUGGUUCUCGAGCUUACAACCUUGACUGAUAGGUCUGGGUAAUCUUUUGAAAGCCAGUCGUGCUGGGGAUAGACUAUUGUAAUUUUUAGUCUUCAACGAGGAAUUCCUAGUAAACGCGAGUCAUCAACUCGCAUUGAUUACGUCCCUGCCCUUUGUACACACCGCCCGU